GACUCUCCGCAAUGGAUAUCUCGGCUCUCGCAUCAAUGAAGAACGUAGCAAAAUGCGAUACUUGGUGUGAAUUGCAGAAUCCCGUGAACCAUCGAGUCUUUGAACGCAAGUUGCGCCCCAACCCUUCUGGCCGAGGGCACAUCUGCUUGGGUGUCA
rnacentral:rRNA from 1 species